rnacentral:rRNA from 1 species
CCCUGUGACCACAAGUUUAACGGCCGCGGUAUAUUGACCGUGCAAAGGUAGCGCAAUCACUUGUCUUUUAAAUGAAGACCCGUAUGAAAGGCACGACGAGGGCUUAACUGUCUCCUCUCCCCAGUCUAUGAAAUUGAUCCCCCCGUGCGGAAGCGGGGAUCCCGAUAUAAGACGAGAAGACCCCAUGGAGCUUCAGACACUGGGCAACCCACCCCUGACCCCCUCGACCACUGACGGGGACAAUAACUGGCCUUUCUCCCACUUGUCUUUGGUUGGGGCGACCGAGGAGGAGAAGAAGCCUCCACACGGACUGGGAGCACACAUCCUAGGACUGAGAGUUACAUCUCUAAGGAACAGAACUUCUGACUAAAUGAUCCGGCGCACGCCGAUCAACGGACCGAGUUACCCUGGGGAUAACAGCGCAAUCCUCUCCCAGAGUCCCUAUCGACGAGGGGGUUUACGACCUCGAUGUUGGAUCAGGACAUCCCAGUGGUGCAGCCGCUACUAAGGGUUCGUUUGUUCAACGAUUAAAGUCCUAC